AUUGAACGCUGGCGGCAGGCCUAACACAUGCAAGUCGAGCGGAAGAAGGGAGCUUGCUCCUGGAUUCAGCGGCGGACGGGUGAGUAAUGCCUAGGAAUCUGCCUGGAAGUGGGGGAUAACGUCCGGAAACGGGCGCUAAUACCGCAUACGUCCUGAGGGAGAAAGUGGGGGAUCUUCGGACCUCACGCUAUCAGAUGAGCCUAGGUCGGAUUAGCUAGUUGGUGGGGUAAAGGCCUACCAAGGCGACGAUCCGUAACUGGUCUGAGAGGAUGAUCAGUCACACUGGAACUGAGACACGGUCCAGACUCCUACGGGAGGCAGCAGUGGGGAAUAUUGGACAAUGGGCGAAAGCCUGAUCCAGCCAUGCCGCGUGUGUGAAGAAGGUCUUCGAAUUGUAAAGCACUUUAAGUUGGGAGGAAGGGCAGUAAGUUAAUACCUUGCUGUUUUGACGUUACCAACAGAAUAAGCACCGGCUAACUUCGUG
rnacentral:rRNA from 1 species